GUUUAGUAGAUUGGUUUGACCUUUUUUAGUACUUUUUGUAAUUUGCUGUGUGUGUUUCUAUAGGAUUUUUUUUAUUUUGGUUCCAUUUUUCUGUCGUGAUGAGAAUUGUUAUUGAAAAGAGUGUUCUUUAUUUUUUUGCUGACACUUGUUUGGCUGUUGGAGGUAUCUUGAUGUUUUUGGAAGAUAUUGGUUUGUUUUGUCAUUUCAUUUAGGAAUUGGAUUUUAAAUAUGCAAUUAUGACUCUAACUAUAUUGAAACAAAAGAAAUAGAUGUGUAGCAAUGGGAAUGAGCCAAUUUUAUUUUUAUAUAUUCGGUCAAUUUUUAAAAUUCAAAUCAAAACUUCUAAACACAAAUCAAACCAUCAUCCUUGUAGAAUCUUUCACAGCAGCGGGCUAAAGAUCCUGGUUUUGUUGACAGGAUUUACUGGUUCUGGAAGAACAAGAGGGAAGUACAAGCCUAACUACUUCUAGCUCACAGACCCGUCCAGUGAACCCAGCUUUGUGUUUUGGGAUCGGUGAAUUUUAACUUUGGAGUCCUCUAUGCUAAGGAUGCUCAGCUUACAGAUGAUGAAAUGUUCAGUAAUGUAUUUGCUGCAGCUCUGCUUACCCAAGCUUUGGGUUCCUUCUGUCCCACUGGGAGUUGCCCAAUUUGGUUGCAUCUGGUGAAAUUCACCCUGAGACCUUACAGAACCAGCUUCAACUACGUGAGAGCCAUUUGCAGUUCUCUCCAGACACCUGGAAAAUGGGCGACGUUUCUGAGGAUCCGGCGAGCGUGCUUCUGUCAAAACUCAGUCUGUGAAAUUCCUGGGGAAAACCCUUCUGUGUCCUGAAGGGUUCAAACUCUGGUGAGGAUCCAGUUAUCAGGUGCUCACCUGGAUGGUUCCAGCUCCCAAAGGGAAAGACUCUCGUAUCCUUGUCGUCGGGCUCGGUGCUGUCCAAGAAGAUACAGAGACUAAAAAAAUCAUAAGAAGCAAAAUAUGACUGCAGGGAAAAGCUGGAGAGAACAGAAGCAAUGGAAUUGGGACGACGCCUCGGCCAGCCCCUCUCUGCCAUCGUCUCCUGAAUCUGCAGCAGAGCAGUUCCAGUCCAUCCGGGCACAUGUAAUCCAGUUCCUGAUGAUCUGAGCACACGGAGCAGCGCUCAGCUGCUGUGGGGGGCUCACGGAAGGCAGAGUGUGCAUUGUCAUCUUCCUGAACCUACAGACAAAUCAAAGUGAGAAGCCACAGCGUGGAAAUCAGUUGCAUAUAUGCUAAAUAAAACUUGCAGAUUUUUUUAAGAA